AGCGAACGCUGGCGGCAGGCCUAACACAUGCAAGUCGAACGAACCUUUCGGGGUUAGUGGCGGACGGGUGAGUAACACGUGGGAACGUGCCUUUAGGUUCGGAAUAACUCAGGGAAACUUGUGCUAAUACCGAAUGUGCCCUUCGGGGGAAAGAUUUAUCGCCUUUAGAGCGGCCCGCGUCUGAUUAGCUAGUUGGUUGAGGUAAUGGCUCACCAAGGCGACGAUCAGUAGCUGGUCUGAGAGGAUGAUCAGCCACAUUGGGACUGAGACACGGCCCAAACUCCUACGGGAGGCAGCAGUGGGGAAUCUUGCGCAAUGGGCGAAAGCCUGACGCAGCCGUGCCGCGUGAAUGAUGAAGGUCUUAGGAUUGUAAAAUUCUUUCACCGGGGACGAUAAUGACGGUACCCGGAGAAGAAGCCCCGGCUAACUUCGUG
rnacentral:rRNA from 1 species